UUCAGUGUGGCAGACUAGUGCAAUGAACUUAAGAUUCAUACAUAAAUUAAAAUAUUUCUCUGAAA
rnacentral:tRNA from 1 species